GAGGAAUAUUGGUCAAUGGGCGAAAGCCUGAACCAGCCAUGUCGCGUGAAGGAUGAAGGUCCUAUGGAUUGUAAACUUCUUUUGCAGGAGGGUAAAGUGAGCUACGUGUAGUUCAUUGCAAGUACCCUGCGAAUAAGCAUCGGCUAACUCCGUGCCAGCAGCCGCGGUAAUACGGAGGAUGCGAGCGUUAUCCUGAUUUAUUGGGUUUAAAGGGUGCGUAGGCGGACUAAUUAGUCAGCGGUGAAAUUUUGCGGCUCAACCGUAAAACUGCCGUUGAAACUGUUAGUCUUGAGUGCGGUAGAGGUAGGCGGAAUGUGUGGUGUAGCGGUGAAAUGCUUAGAUAUCACACAGAACACCGAUUGCGUAGGCAGCUUACUGGAGCGCAACUGACGCUGAGGCACGAAAGCGUGGGGAUCGAAC
rnacentral:rRNA from 1 species